rnacentral:misc_RNA from 1 species
GGGGAGACAGGCUCAUGGCGGACGUCAGUUUGAGUCGAUACCUUGUUUGAUUCGUAUCUUCAUCCCGAUGACCGCUUUAAGGCGCAUAGGAUGCCGACUUUCCUCCUUCUACUCCUCGGACUAACGGCAGGAUGCGUCAGGACCCAGGAUAGUAGUGAGGGAAUCCCCGCAGCGGUCGCCUCUCCCCUGAAGAAAGGCACUGGUGGGCUAGGCGACCCCUGCGAGGAUCGUUGUGGCCGGGGGACCCACACCACCUGCGACAACAAGACGAGGCUAUGCAAGUGUGACAAGGACCAUCCCGUCGAAAUUGACCACCAAUACUGCGCCAAGCCUGUACUACUUGGUAAUCCUUGUAUCCAUCAUGAUCAGUGCAUGUAUCAUGAAAUACAUGCUGUUUGCCAAGAGUACUCAAUUAAUUUUACCGAGUGUCAAUGUCGCAACAACUACGAGGUCAGGGUCAUCCAGGGUCUUGCCAUUCCCAAGAUCUGUGUUCCCGAUUUAGACUCCCUGAAGCCAGAUGUUCCCACACUACUAGGUCUGGGUCUAGGCAUGUCCGUGUUGUCCGCACUCAUCUGUCUUGUGCUCAAGAUUUUUGCCCGUGCCCGUUUUGUACGCCCACGUCGUUAUGCAGAUGCUCAUAUUAAUCCACCCCUCACGGUCUCUGAAACAUAUGCUGCCUUUGCCUUGGCUGCCAAUGCGUCGACGAGCAGCAGUCCGGCAAGGGGUAGAAACCACUCUCUUCGUUCCUCAACCAAAUCUGCUUCCUCAUCCAGGAGACCCUCGUAUAGUUCCCUCCAAGGCAUACGCCCAGGCACAAGACGGUCUUCGCAAGCUUCGCUACGACUGGUCGUUGGAGAGGGUCGUGGAGAGCCGAUUGGAUACUACGUGUGCAUUAGGGAUCCCGCCUCCGUUCAUUCUAGAGCAGGCUCCAGACGCCCCUCUCAGGCCUCUGUGGCAUCAAGCUCUGGCGAUCUUCGGGAAGGCCGUGUUCAUCAUUACCUUUACAUGAGGGCACCAAAUUACUCCCUUAACUCUGAAACAAACACCACUACCACCGGCACCUCCGAUUCCUCUCCACGAACCCCAAAAAGUACAGAACAGCUUUUGGCUGUUUACCAUUCUGUUCCUGAGUUCGUGAAGUUUCUAGCAAUAUGAACAGAAGUGAUGUAGAAAUGUUGAAUGCUGAAAAUAAGUGAGAAGAUACUCUAAUUGUUGGCAUUUGUGAAGGAUAUAAAGGCAAUUGGAGAGUUAGAGUAUUACAGGCAAAGAUAAAGAAGUUCUGGAGUAUACGGCGCGCCUGGCUCACCACGCAAACCUCAACCCUCUACCUCUCACAUCAAGGAUGGGCAAUAACAGCACUCGGUCCUGGAGCUGGGUGGUGUUGGGUCCUCACACACCACCUCCACCCUUGGGUCUUCCAGUG